GUGACUGCGUACCUUUUGUAUAAUGGGUCAGCGACUUAUAUUCUGUAGCAAGGUUAACCGUAUAGGGGAGCCGGAGGGAAACCGAGUCUUAAUUGGGCGUUAAGUUGCAGGGUAUAGACCCGAAACCCGGUGAUCUAGCCAUGGGCAGGUUGAAGGUUGGGUAACACUAACUGGAGGACCGAACCGACUAAUGUUGAAAAAUUAGCGGAUGACCUGUGGCUGGGGGUGAAAGGCCAAUCAAACCGGGAGAUAGCUGGUUCUCCCCGAAAGCUAUUUAGGUAGCGCCUCGUGAAUUCAUCUCCGGGGGUAGAGCACUGUUUCGGCCAGGGGGCCAUCCCGGCUUACCAACCCGAUGCAAACU
rnacentral:rRNA from 1 species